rnacentral:rRNA from 1 species
ACAGAGGUGGCAAGCGUUGUUCGGAAUUACUGGGCUUAAAGGGCGCGUAGGUGGUGAUAUAAGUCCGAGGUGGAAGACUGGGGCUUAACCUCAGAAUUGCCUUGGAUACUGUAUGACUUGAGUCAGCAAGGGGAUGGCGGAAUUCCAGGUGUAGCGGUGAAAUGCGUAGAUAUCUGGAGGAAGGCCGGUGGCGAAGGCGGCCAUCUGGUGCUGAACUGACACUGAGGCGCGAAAGCGUGGGGAGCAAACA